rnacentral:rRNA from 1 species
CAUGCUAGUCCGGACGGGGAAGAGAUGAAGAGCUUGCUCUUUAUCGAAUCCAGUGGCAAACGGAGUGAGUAACACGUAAACAACCUGCCUUUAGGAUGGGGACAACAGACGGAAACGACUGCUAAUACCGAAUGCGUUCCACGGGCCGCAUGACCUGUGGAAGAAAGGGUAGCCUCUACCUGUAAGCUAUCGCCUGAAGAGGGGUUUGCGUCUGAUUAGGCAGUUGGUGGGGUAACGGCCCACCAAACCAACGAUCAGUAGCCGGUCUGAGAGGAUGAACGGCCACACUGGAACUGAGACACGGUCCAGACUCCUACGGGAGGCAGCAGUGGGGAAUCUUCCGCAAUGGACGAAAGUCUGACGGAGCAACGCCGCGUGAGUGAAGACGGCCUUCGGGUUGUAAAGCUCUGUGAUCCGGGACGAAAGAGCCUGAGGUAAAUAGCCUAAGGAAGUGACGGUACCGGAAAAGCAAGCCACGGCUAACUACGUGCCAGCAGCCGCGGUAAUACGUAGGUGGCAAGCGUUGUCCGGAAUUUAUUGGGCGUAAAGCGCGCGCAGGCGGCUUCCUAA